GACCAGCUCUGCAGUCACCGUCUAUGCUGUCAUAGGACAAAUGGGGAUAAAUAGGGUCAUUCUAGAUCAGAGCAGAUCUAAGUCCGGUCCAUUGUAGGACAAGCGGGGGCAAAGCCUCCUCAAGCCACCACGCCAUCCGGAGUUGGAGGGCCCACCAGCACCGCCCGUAAUGAGCUGAGGUUGUUUGGCACGCUUUGGCGGACUAACUAACUAACGAGAGGGGGAUUCAUUCACCGUCACACACGCAGGAGAUGUUGUAUAAACACAAGGCCAUUCUAGCCUCAACAUGGAAUUCUUCAACGGUCAAGGCAGGUUCCCCACCACCUCCCUGUGCUGCUGUUUUUAUGAGCCCCACCUGGCAGAUUAUUAUUCCACCAAGACAACUACGUCUUCUACGGCUGACACACACAUACACUCAUCUGAAGGUGUUAUGCUAAGACCCACCCCUCGGGAUGGCUCUGCCCGCUCUGACCGCAAAGAGAACGCCCUUCCCCGGCUGUGAGGUCCCGCCUCCCCGCCCCCUUCCUCUACACGCAGGAGCAAGUCAGGCCGGUGAGCAGAGCCAAUGUGGCAUAUUUAUUCUCAUACAGGCUUAAUGUUGGACAGUGUACAAGUCGUGGCACGAUAAAAAAAUGACUUUAUGGUGCACAAUAAACCCACAGCUGCAUUAUAGCACUAUUUGGUCAGGCAGCCGUUGAUGCAAGAUUAAGAACAAUCUCUUUUUAAGCUCAUUUAAAUCUUCUAUUAUGAAUAGGAACAGGGA